rnacentral:rRNA from 1 species
UGACGUCAAGUCAUCAUGGCCCUUAUGUCCAGGGCGACACACGUGCUACAAUGGCCGGCACAGCGGGAAGCAGGGGGCGACCUUGAGCGGAUCCCUCAAAAGACCGGUCUCAGUUCGGAUUGCAGUCUGCAACUCGACUGCAUGAAGUUGGAAUCGCUAGUAAUCGUGGAUCAGCCAAGCCGCGGUGAAUACGUUCCCGGGCCUU